ACACCCACAUCAGGUUGAAUCACCGGUUCCCCUGCGAUCGCCUAAGUUACGCAACGUUGAGCCUGGUCAGUACCUAGAUGGGUGACUGCUUGGGAAUAAUAGGUGCUGUAUG